CCUGCUCGUCAUUCUCCUAAAGGCCCCAGUGUGUGUUGUUCCCCUCUAUGUAUCCAUACGUUUUCAUCAUUUGGCUCCCUCUUGUAAGUGAGAACUUGUGGUAUUUGGUUUUCUAUUUCUGCAUUAGUUUACUAAGGAUAAUGGCCUCCAGUUUCAUCUAUGUUCCUGUAAAAGAUA